UACGUAGGUGGCAAGCGUUACUCGGAAUCACUAGGCGUAAAGCGCAGGUAGGUGGUUGGAUAAGUCUAUUGUGAAAGCUCCUGGCUUAACUGGGAGAGGUCAACAGAAACUGUCCGGCUAGAGUGUGGUAGGGGAAACUGGAAUUCCUGGUGUAGCGGUGAAAUGCGUAGAUAUCAGGAGGAAUACCAAUGGCGAAAGCAGGUUUCUGGGCCAUCACUGACACUGAGCUGCGAAAGCUAGGGGAGCAAACAGG
rnacentral:rRNA from 1 species